GAUGAAGAACGUAGUGAAAUGCGAUACGUAAUGUGAAUUGCAGAAUUCAGUGAAUCAUCGAGUCUUUGAACGCACAUUGCGCCCUCUGGUAUUCCGGAGGGCAUGCCUGUCCGAGCGUCAUUGCUGCCCUCAAGCACGGCUUGUGUGUUGGGCCCCGCCCCCCGAUCCCGGGGGGCGGGCCCGAAAGGCAGCGGCGGCACCGCGUCCGGUCCUCGAGCGUAUGGGGCUUUGUCACCCGCUCUGUAGGCCCGGCCGGCGCUUGCCGAUCAACCAAACUUUUUUCCAGGUUGACCUCGGAUCAGGUAGGGAUACCCGCUGAACUUAAGCAUAUCAAUAGCGGAGGA
rnacentral:misc_RNA from 1 species